rnacentral:rRNA from 1 species
GAUGAACGCUGGCGGCGUGCCUAAUACAUGCAAGUCGAGCGAACAGACGAGGAGCUUGCUCCUCUGACGUUAGCGGCGGACGGGUGAGUAACACGUGGAUAACCUACCUAUAAGACUGGGAUAACUUCGGGAAACCGGAGCUAAUACCGGAUAAUAUAUUGAACCGCAUGGUUCAAUAGUGAAAGACGGUUUUGCUGUCACUUAUAGAUGGAUCCGCGCCGCAUUAGCUAGUUGGUAAGGUAACGGCUUACCAAGGCAACGAUGCGUAGCCGACCUGAGAGGGUGAUCGGCCACACUUGACCUGAGACACGGUCCAGACUCCUACGGGAGGCAGCAGUAGGGAAUCUUCCGCAAUGGGCGAAAGCUUGACGGAGCAACGCCGCGUGAGUGAUGAAGGUCUUCGGAUCGUAAAACUCUGUUAUUAGGGAAGAACAAAUGUGUAAGUAACUAUGCACGUCUUGACGGUACCUAAUCAGAAAGCCACGGCUAACUACGUG